AUACGGAGGGUGCAAGCGUUGUUCGGAAUUAUUGGGCGUAAAGAGCAUGUAGGCGGACUGUUAAGUCUGGUGUGAAAGCCCGGGGCUCAACCCCGGAAGUGCAUUGGAUACUGGCAGUCUUGAGUAUGGGAGAGGAAAGUGGAAUUCCGAGUGUAGGAGUGAAAUCCGUAGAUAUUCGGAGGAACACCAGUGGCGAAGGCGGCUUUCUGGACCAAUACUGACGCUGAGAUGCGAAAGCGUGGGGAGCGAACAGGAGUAGAAACCCUAGUAGUCC
rnacentral:rRNA from 1 species